AGCUUAAAGAUUUACAUCCUGUAGCUAGUUUCAUCUGUUAAAUGAUCAAAGUUGGUAUUUACGGACAAUGGAAAUCUCCCAUGGUGGUUGUUCUUGUUCCUCAUUUCCACUUAUUGAUCUCGCAAAUUUUGUAUGAUACAAUGCUUCAUAUUAACCUGAGGUUCUACCACACGGUUUGACUUUGAAAUUGGUGUGGAUUUCAGGCCUAUCAUUGACUUUAAUGAGAUUACAAGCCAUUUCGUCGAGUGUAUAUAUGUCCAACUCUACAACACCAGGUUACGGGUAUUAAUCUAAGUGGUGCUCUGCUUCUUGUUGCAUGACAUUAUAAUCGAUAUAUAUGUGGAUGAUUAUAAACCUUUCAGAUGCCAACGAAGCUUUUUUCCUGAUAGCAUUAGAAUUUAUUCUGAUAAACUACAGGGUGGCAGCAGUAAUCAACCCCAGAUGACAAAUUCUAACCAUUUGAAGGAAUACAAUGCUAUUUCCUCUAAUCACGUAAAGCGUCAAGCAUAAUAUGAUUUUGCUAAGUUUUUGAUCGGUUUGUUUUGCGCUCUUUUUAAGUUUCUAUCAUUUCUCAAUCCUCUGGCCAGUAUAGCUUUGAUGAAGGAAAGAGCAUUGAUCAGAUGGUGUUAGACUUUUUGAGAAGACCUGAGUUUCUGUAAGUUAUCUGAUAUUUUAUGUUGUGAAAGUUCUGUUGCUAUAUUUCAGAGACUCUGACCACACUUCUUUUUUCCUCUUUCUUUUCACUGUUCUCUUUGCCUGAAGCCAAUUAAUGUCGAUGAUGCCAUAAUGAAUUUAACACCUUGUUCUCUGACUAGCUGUUGAUUUGCUUUGCUUGUGUGUUCUGGUCGAUUUUAUUUUUGUUUGUUUCUUUUUCUUGCUUGCGUGCUCAGUGUCUAUUCAGAAUCAAGCCUACUCAUAUUGGCAUGCUGAUGUAUUCCCUCUUUUCAGUGCAAAUAACAAUGGAGUUCAUCGCAAUGUGAUUUCUCAACAGCUAAAUCUGCCAAUGGAUAAGCUCAUGUCUCUCUCUCUCUCUCUCUCAGUCAUAUCUGCCAAUGGAUAAGCUCAUGUCAAUAACAAUGGAGUUCAUCGCAAUGUGAUUUCUCAACAGCUAAAUCUGCCAAUGGAUAAGCUCAUGUCUCUCUCUCUCUCUCUCUCAGUCAUGCUUUCUCUCCUAUCAAAUUGUCUGCAAUGCAAAAUGCAACAUCAUAACGUUGAAAUUAUUUUAUUGGCCUUUGACAGGGAAGCUUUAGAAUCUCUUAACGAAAAUAGCUUGGUUUACUCAAUCGAUGAGUUUCACUAUAAAUCAGCUGUCAAUGCAUGACAUGUCGGGCCAAAAUUAUGCCCAUUUGCCAGCCUUGCUAUCCCUCUGCAGGUACUUCGCAUCGUUCAUACUUCAUGGUCUGAACUUGUUCCAGAACUGUAUUGCGUAACUUAGUGUACUUUUCCUAAGCUCGGUAACCUUGCUCGAGCACUGCAUUAUGACUUAAUGUCUCUCAGAUCCAGACAAUAUUGAUUCUCAUCUAGUUCGCUUUACUAAUUUAGGCUGUGUAUGGAAUGUUUUCAAUUAAGAUAGUAUCUAAAUGAAAUUACAAGGUGAUCACUGAUUAAUCUUGUGAACUUGAAGGAUUCAAGUUGGCUUAACUCAACUUGUGUAAACUGAAUCAUGAUAUACGUACAUCAGGGGUUUUAACCCAUUUUCAGUCGUAAAUGUAUUUGCCCGCUCAUCCAACAAAAUUUUGACAUGUUGAAAUGGCCGAAAGUUUAAGAUAUGUGUCAGUUUUGAUUGAGCAGAAAUGUAUGACUUCCUCUCGGAUCAUUUGUUGACUAUCCCGCAAUCGAAGUCUGCGAAUCACAUGGUUUAGAUUCGUUGCUGACUUUAUUGGAGCCAUAUCAUAUCAGAUUGUCGGAUAUGCAGAUUACAGAAUGUUAAGACAAUAAAGAAAUGCAUAUAAAGACAGUGGCAGUAUAUAUCUAACCAGAAAAGAUAAUGACAAAAUAUUAAUAUUAAAUUAAUAAAUUAGAAAAAGGUCAUGUGAGAAGUAAUCAUAAAGUAAUAAUCUAAAUAAUAAAUAAUAGAACAAUAAGUAGUGAACGUGAGGAAUGAUUCGUUUCACUGGCCACGAACCCAAACUCACGUUACUUUUUAAAACAUAGUUUGACCGCUAUCAUUUAUCAAAAUGACAGCUGAUUUCUUACUGUAUUUUGGAGGGCCCCAUCACUCAUUUUUAAGAUUUUUCUAAUAUUUUUCUUUUAAAAAUCACCGGCUCGGUUUUGUUUCAUUGCCUUUUAUCAAUUUUUGUUCUCAUCAAUUUAAAUUAUGGUUUUGAAGUGACUUAGAAAGUGAAUUUAAAUGGAGUCCAAAUGCAGGUUCUGCAACUCUAUCAAUUGCUUGGAUGAUAAAUAUCAUUUUCCACACGUGUGGGCUCUAUUUGCCAUGAGUUUAAUUUGUACUUUUAUUAUGUAAAGUGAAUCAAAUCUCGUAUGUCUUUUGUAUGCUGAGUUCUUAAACUUUUAGAAAUUUUGCAAUUUGGGACCAUUUCUUAAGAAUUGUUUGAAUAUGCUGGAUUCGAAAGUUGAAUAGACUUUUCUAAGAAUUAUAGUAAUCAUACUUUUUAAUUCAUUAUUCACUGAUUAAUCUGCAAUCAAGAGGAAUUGAGGACUUUGAAGUUUUGUGUCGACUGGAAUAAUUGGUAAUUGUGCAUGGACAGGCAAUUAAUCAAUUCUGCUCGACUUGUUCUCUCUGUUACCAGGAAAGGAAUGUAUGUUCGUGUUUAUGGACACUUGAAGGCUUUUCAGGAUAAAAGAAGCUUAAAUGCAUACUCCCUUCGGUACAGAUUCAACUUAUUCUUUUUUUUUUUAAUGUUUGAGUUAAACCAUAUGAAGAAUAUUAAGGUGUCCAUUUACCUCUUGGUUGCAGUGUUAUCUAUUUGUUUUAUGCUAUCCAUACUGUGUAUGCAGCAAUAUUCUUCAUAUGUUGUUCGUUGAUUACAUUUUUUGAAAAUGUGAAAUCUUCCUUUGUUGAGGUCAAAGUUGUCCAUGCGAAUGAAAGCCAUUUACUAUUUAGCAUGCAGUUCUCAUAGUAUUUUUGUGGUCGGCAGCCGUACGUUGUCAUGUGCCAAUUUGUUGGCCAACUAAAUACAUGCAAAUUGGAUUAUGAUAACGUACACCUGGGUGUUUGUCUCUGCAUAUCACUUCCACUUUUACUAUUUGUUAUCUUUUCAUGGUAAAUGCUAUUUUUCAAGUUGUUAUGUUUAUUCUUACUGCACUCAUCUGCUGAGAAAGCUUAAAGAUUUACAUCCUGUAGCUAGUUUCAUCUGUUAAAUGAUCAAAGUUGGUAUUUACGGACAAUGGAAAUCUCCCAUGGUGGUUGUUCUUGUUCCUCAUUUCCACUUAUUGAUCUCGCAAAUUUUGUAUGAUACAAUGCUUCAUAUUAACCUGAGGUUCUACCACACGGUUUGACUUUGAAAUUGGUGUGGAUUUCAGGC
rnacentral:lncRNA from 1 species